rnacentral:rRNA from 1 species
CCUACGGGAGGCAGCAGUGGGGAAUAUUGCACAAUGGGGGAAACCCUGAUGCAGCGACGCCGCGUGAGUGAAGAAGUAAUUCGUUAUGUAAAGCUCUAUCAGCAGGGAAGAAAAUGACGGUACCUGAGUAAGAAGCCCCGGCUAACUACGUGCCAGCCGCCGCGGUAAUACGUAGGGGGCAAGCGUUAUCCGGAUUUACUGGGUGUAACGGGAGCGUAGACGGCAGUGCAAGUCUGGAGUGAAAGGCGGGGGCUCAACCCCCGGACUGCUCUGGAAACUGUACGGCUGGAGUGCAGGAGAGGUAAGUGGAAUUCCUAGUGUAGCGGUGAAAUGCGUAGAUAUUAGGAGGAACACCAGUGGCGAAGGCGGCUUACUGGACUGUAACUGACGUUGAGGCUCGAAAGCGUGGGGAGCAAACAGGAUUAGAUACCCGAGUAGUC